rnacentral:rRNA from 1 species
GUAUGUACAUCUCAUUAGACUAAUUUAAGAUAAAAAACUACUAUAAAUUUACUAAUAGAUUCUAAAAUUUAAUAAUAUAAAGAAUUAUAUGUGGCUAAAAAACCCCCACCCAUAACCUAUACCUUGACCUGACUUAAAUAAUAAUACAUUAAAAGGAAAAAAAAACUAAAAUUAAUCUUAACGGAGGUAUAUAAAGUAAAAGAAAAGGAAAAGUGUAACGAGGACUAUCGAUUAAAAAUCAAGCCCCUCUAAUUAGUUAUGAGACCGCCAAAAUUCUUAAGUUUAAGGAAAACCCACUAAUACUUUUAUAUAUGAUAAUAGGGUAUCUAAUCCUAGUCUAAUUAAAAAAUUUAAGAGAAAAAACAGAAAAAUAAAAAGGUAAGAGAAAAUUUCACCUUAUCUUACCAAAUCGAAUAAGUAUAAAUCAUUCUCAAUCUUUAACUUAAUAAAGUAAUCGUAUA